UCAUGCAAUUUGUUCAAGAUCACAAUCGCCUAACUAAAUCCAAAUUGUUCCAUGUUUACUAAAGAAGUCGCUACUUUAUUGGAGAUUGAGGUUUCUUCUAUCUCUAAUGGCUUCUUUAUUUCCUAAGAGAAGUAUAUCUAGGAUAUUCUUACUCAUGCUGCUUUGAUGAGCACACUGUUGAGACUCCUAUGGAGCUCAACAUCCACUUUUGUGUCCACCUCCACUCCUUGCAAAUCUGGAUGUGUAUCCGUUGCCUGGUGGCGUGUUGCUAUGUGUGCUAUCUUUAUCCCACAUCACGUGUUCCCUCGCUGGUCGACACCGUAACCGCAUGCUCAAGCACCAUCAAUGGCGAGCAAGAGCUUGGACAAUUGGCGCAUACCUAGAUUUUGUACACGGGGCGCGUCCGAGAACAUGUGAUACCUAUCGUCAAGGCCAAGGGCGCACAGUAGGAGAAUGUGGGAUGCUUAAUCAAGUGCGUGACACAAAACCGCAAACAGGACAAGGACAUCAAGCCGGAUCAACGGGGAACAAAGAAUGCACAGGAACGUGGGAUGCUCGAUAAACUCCAUCUGCUGCCAUUAUCCCUN
rnacentral:lncRNA from 1 species